rnacentral:rRNA from 1 species
UNUUACCAGAAAGGGACGGCUAACUACGUNCCAGCAGCCGCGGUAAUACGUAGGUCCCGAGCGUUGUCCGGAUUUAUUGGGCGUAAAGCGAGCGCAGGCGGUUAGAUAAGUCUGAAGUUAAAGGCUGUGGNUUAACCAUAGUACGCUUUGGAAACUGUUUAACUNGAGUGCAGAAGGGGAGAGUGGAAUUCCAUGUGUAGCGGUGAAAUGCGUAGAUAUAUGGAGGAACACCGGUGGCGAAAGCGGCUCUCUGGUCUGUAACUGACGCUGAGGCUCGAAAGCGUGGGGAGCGAACAGGAUUAGAUACCCUGGUAGUNCACGCCGUAAACGAUGAGUGCUAGGUGUUAGGCCCUUUCCGGGGCUUAGUGCCGCAGCUAACGCAUUAAGCACUCCGCCUGGGGAGUACGACCGCAAGGUUGAAACUCAAAGGAAUUGACGGGGGCCCGCACAAGCGGUGGAGCAUGUGGUUUAAUUCGAAGCAACGCGAAGAACCUUACCAGGUCUUGACAUCCCGAUGCCCGCUCUAGAGAUAGAGUUUUACUUCGGUACAUCGGUGACAGGUGGUGCAUGGUUGUCGUCAGCUCGUGUCGUGAGAUGUUGGGUUAAGUCCCGCAACGAGCGCAACCCUUAUUGUUAGUUGCCAUCAUUCAGUUGGGCACUCUAGCGAGACUGCCGGUAAUAAACCGGAGGAAGGUGGGGAUGACGUCAAAUCAUCAUGCCCCUUAUGACCUGGGCUACACACGUGCUACAAUGGCUGGUACAACGAGUCGCAAGUCGGUGACGGCAAGCUAAUCUCUUAAAGCCAGUCUCAGUUCGGAUUGUAGGCUGCAACUCGCCUACAUGAAGUCGGAAUCGCUAGUAAUCGCGGAUCAGCACGCCGCGGUGAAUACGUUCCCGGGCCUUGUACACACCGCCCGUCACACCACGAGAGUUUGUAACACCCGAAGUCGGUGAGGUAACCUUUUAGGAGCCAGCCGCCUAAGGUGGGAUAGANG